UCUCUGGGCACAGAGAUUAGAAACCUCAUCCCGGUCUUACUUCUGUACUAAUGCAAAAAAACCCACUACCAACAAAAACCCAACUUAAUGGAGACAAGACUCAAGCAAUCUAUAGCAUUUUAUAUCUUUGUGUUAUAUUUUUUCUAGUUUAAAAUGUGACAGGUUCAUUACCUCUUGUUUCUUCAACUCUUGUCUCACAUGACAUCUCCUAGAGAUUCUACCACCCAUUUUCCCUAUCAGUAAGUGGAAAUUGCUGCCAGCCUGGAUGGUACAGCAAAGUCUUUAAGGCAACUGUUAAACACUGUUACUUAAAAAGAAAGAAAGAAUAUUUUGUGGCUCAUAUAUUGUGUGGUUUGUUUUUUCUUUCUUUUUCCCCCCCGUGUUUUAUAUGAUGGAGAAGUUGUUGCUUUUUCUUUAAAACUAGAUGCAAAAUGACAAGAACAAUACAUGGGCUGAACCAGACCCUGAACUUCUUGCUGUCCUCACCACUGUAAUGCCUAUUUGUUGUCUUAAAAGGAUGGCAUUUCAUUCCUCACUCCAAACAUAAUAAGUGAAAAGUAGUUUCUUUCAGUUGCUUUGUGUUCAUGAUACUCUGCAGUAUGUGCAGUUGUCAUCAAAUCUGGACAAUACCGAAACAAUUUCAGUAUAUGUUUAGCUGCAAUAGCUGCUGUUCUUCCUGAACAAACUCAUCAUUCAGAGUUUGUGCUUAUAAAACAGUGUUUGCAAUGUGACAGUUUGGUAAUAAACAGGGAAUUAUGUUAAUCUUAUUAUUUUGAUUUGAAAUAUUGUGAAGCAUGGAGGAAGACUGAAACUGAGUAACAAGAUGUAAACCUCAAGCUGCAAAUUUGGUCCGUCAGUAAUGAUUCCCUUCUAGUAUUUCAGGUUGUAUUUCAGUGUUUCUUAACAAAAGUUCUCCUUUGUAGAGGGAAAAAAAAAAUCUGUUAUCCAUGACAUACAUUGCUGAUUAUUUUUCAUGUGGCUUUUUGCUGAUUUUAAGAGGUCUGAGAGGAAGAACAGAGAACACAGAUCAACCAGUAUCAGAAUCUCCAGUUAUCCCAUGAACAGCUUCAUUGUGAGAUCUCUUCUGCAAAUCUCAGACCUGUUAAAUUCUCAAUAUGAAAUAAGCAAUCAUUAUAAUUUCAUCUUAGCUGGAACACUAUUUCUCUCUCUCUUUCUUUUUCUUUUCUUUUUUUUUUUUUUUUUUUUUUCCCCUUUUGAUGGGUUAGAUUUAAGCCAUCUGCAGGCAGAUGGAAAGGAAAAGUGGAAUUAUUGUUUUCAUCAAAAAUUUUUGCAGCUGUCAGGGUGUGUUUGACACAAGCCUCAUGGCUGAAAACAAAGACAGGACAUUUUGUCCCGGCUGGAUAUCAGAGAGGAUAAGAACUCUUCAUGGCUAGCUCUUGGAGAACUUGGGGCUAAAUGAGAUAAACAAGAACAUUACUUAGCCAUACACUAAGUAAUACACCACUUUCCAGAGGGAAUUAUUCACUGAAUUAUGUACUGCUUUUGCUGAGUCCCUAUCAGUGAGACCCUAUCAGUUUUGGCAUGAGAUGGUAACUCUCUCUAAAUUAAAGUCACAAUUUAUCAUACAAACCACUGUUUGGUGAAUGGCAUACCGCAUGACAGAAACUGAAACCAUCAAUUCCAGUACCUGCCAUUACAUAUUGCUUUUAUAAUCCAAAUAAUUUAUGGCCCCAUCAUUAUUAACUGCAGACAUUGAGAAAGGGAUUAGAGGAGCUUUCUAAGAGGGACACCAUGAGGUAUGACUCAAACCCUCCCAGUGUGGACUAGAAGAUUACUUCACUACUUUUUGUCUAAACACUGCUGGCUCCUAGGCCAUACCAGCAUUACUUCUUGUGAAAUCAGGCCUUUCUGAAGGAUCACGAAGGUCUACAUGAAAACCAGAUCCAUUACUGGAGCUCGUCUUCAAGGAGCAUAGACAAGUUUCCAACUGGGCUACAGAGCUGAUCUUCUUGCAUACUUGUGCAGGACCUGACCAUCCCCAUGUCAUGGAAGACGAGCCAAUGGGCAAGGAGGCUGGGCUGACUGAACAGAGACCUUUGGCUGGAUCUCAAGAACAAAAGGAAAGUUUAUGGUCUCUGGAAGAGUGGGCAAGCUACUUAUGAGGAUUAGAGCUCCUCUGGGAAGUUUCUAGUGAAGUCUGCACUUGAACUGAGCUCUUCAGUGGGUGCACCCUUUUUAUCGGGUUGGAUGCACAAUAACAGGUGUGCUUCAGAGAGCGGAUCUGGGAGCACCAAGUCUCCUUGAGUAAAAUUGUUUUGCUAUUCAUUUCACUAAGGUCCUAGGGUUUUGUUUGUUUGCUUUUUCUAUAUUUGUUCUUGCGAACUGUUCGAAUCAUAUUGUGAACAAUACGUGCGUUCAGUUCUUUAUGUUGGUACAAACUGCCUUCUGCAUGCAAUCGUAGCUGAGAGGAGCCGGGAGGACAGGGAGGUCCCCCUGCUGUCGGCAGGCAGGUGACUGCAGACUGCACGCAGUGUUGCUGUGCCCCCGUGAAACAAAUAUCUCCCUGGAAAAAGUUGUAACGGGAAAGGCCGAUAACAUUAAUUAUGAAGAUGGGAGUUUUAAACCAAACAGCAAAUUGAAAUCCUGAGACAGAUUGUUCAGAAUUUAGCUAUGUCGACUUCUGUGUAGAUGGCUGUAAUUGUAAUCACUGGGCAUGUACGUUUUACAUUUAGAGACAAUUAUUAAACAGUAUUGUUAACUACAAGCUAAUUUCCCCUAAAGCAGCUUAUGCUUGAAGCUUCUGUGAUUUAAAUGUGAGAUGACCCUAUUAUUAUUUUAUUCAAUUGAUAUUGGCUGAGACUAAUUAAGUUUUAAUUAGAGAACCAUUACCGGAACAAUUCUAAUUAGUAUUAAGGGUGGAAACGUUUUCAGUGAUACUGAACUGUUAAGUGAGAAGUAACUGUAUGAACCACUUUGAAAGCAAAUAACUUUGUAUAGAAUAUACCUACAGAGGUUUGGUCUUAUUAUUUUUUUUUUUUUUUUGAAGUGGCAGAAAAUUUAAUUGUAAACCUACCCUUAAAGGCAAUAUGAUAGGUCUGAUAAACCACUUUGAAG
ensembl:lncRNA